UACGUAGGUGGCGAGCGUUGUCCGGAUUUACUGGGCGUAAAGGGAGCGUAGGCGGACUUUUAAGUGAGAUGUGAAAUACCCAGGCUCAACUUGGGUGCUGCAUUUCAAACUGGAAGUCUAGAGUACAGGAGAGGAGAAUGGAAUUCCUAGUGUAGCGGUGAAAUGCGUAGAGAUUAGGAAGAACACCAGUGGCGAAGGCGAUUCUCUGGACUGUAACUGACGCUGAGGCUCGAAAGCGUGGGGAGCAAACAGGAUUAGAUACCCU
rnacentral:rRNA from 1 species